GCCGUGAUAGCUCAGCUGGGAGAGCGAUAGACUGAAGUUCCGCGGACCUCCGCGCUCUAAUUCACGUGAUCUACAGGUCGCUGGUUCAAAUCCGGCUCAUGGCA